rnacentral:rRNA from 1 species
AUACGUAGGGAGCGAGCGUUGUCCGGAUUUACUGGGUGUAAAGGGUGCGUAGGCGACUCUGCAAGUCAGGUGUGAAAACUAUGGGCUUAACCCAUAGACUGCAUUUGAAACUGUGGAGCUUGAGUGAAGUAGAGGCAGGCGGGAUUCCCGGGGUAGCGGUGAAAUGCGUAGAGAUCGGGAGGAACGCCAGUGGCGAAGGCGGCCUGCUGGGCUUUAACUGACGCUGAGGCACGAAAGCAUGGGUAGCAAACAGGAUUAGAUACCCUGGUAGUCCAUGCCGUAAACGAUGAUUACUAGGUGUGGGGGGUCUGACCCCUUCCGUGCCGGAGUUAACACAAUAAGUAAUCCACCUGGGAAGUACGACCGCAAGGUUGA